rnacentral:rRNA from 1 species
UACGGAGGGAGCUAGCGUUGUUCGGAAUUACUGGGCGUAAAGCGCACGUAGGCGGCGACUCAAGUCAGAGGUGAAAGCCUGGAGCUCAACUGUAGAACUGCCUUUGAAACUGUUAAUCUUGAGUGCGGAAGAGAGAGACGGAAUUCCAGGUGUAGCGGUGAAAUGCGUAGAUAUCGGGAAGAACACCAGUGGCGAAGGCGGCCUGCUGGGCUGUUCCUGACGCUGAAGCGCGAAAGCUA